rnacentral:rRNA from 1 species
UACGUAGGUGGCAAGCGUUGUCCGGAUUUACUGGGCGUAAAGCGCGCGCAGGCGGUCGAUUUAGUCGCGUGUGAAAGCCCCCGGCUCAACUGGGGAGGGUCACGCGAUACUGAUCGACUCGAAGGCAGGAGAGGGUAGUGGAAUUCCCGGUGUAGUGGUGAAAUGCGUAGAUAUCGGGAGGAACACCAGUGGCGAAGGCGACUACCUGGCCUGUUCUUGACGCUGAGGCGCGAAAGCUAGGGGAGCAAACGGG